rnacentral:lncRNA from 1 species
CAAGAAAGGUUAAUGAAACUGUAUAUGAUGACUUUAUUGUAUCUUUCGAUAUGGCUGGCCACAUUUUUGAAGAAAUAAAGCUGCCAAAGUCUUGCCUCGACGAUGGUGCAUUAACUGGAUCAUUAGCGGUAUUUCGUGAUUCACUUUACCUAUUUGUUCAUGGCCCUGAAUCACUAGAUUGGUGGCAUAUUUGGAUGAUGAAAGAAGAUUGUUCUUUAAAAGUUUGGUGCCCUCAGUUUAAAAUUGAUUGCUCAUUCAAAAUCUGCUGGCCCCUAUGUUUUAUGAAGGUUAGCAGUAUUUCGUGAUUCACUUUACCUAUUUGUUCAUGGCCCUGAAUCACUAGAUUGGUGGCAUAUUUGGAUGAUGAAAGAAGAUUUUUCUUUAAAAGUUUGGUGCCCUCAGUUUAAAAUUGAUUGCUCAUUCAAAAUCUGCUGGCCCCUAUGUUUUAUGAAGAAUGGUGAGGUUAUAUUCGAAUCCAUUGAGGGGGACUUUUCUAUUUAUGACCCUAUAAACCAACAGUUUC